rnacentral:lncRNA from 1 species
AAAUAGAUGGUUUAUGCUUGAUUCAUGAGAUGAAAUGGGGCAUUUUGCUAUAAUUGCAUUUAGGGCUCCAAAAAGGGGUUUUUGUAAAUAGUUGAGUUUGAUCUCAAUUGACCCUAUACAAACCUAAUUGGGGGUAUAACGAACGCGUUGGUGCGCUCGGUUCGACAAUCCGACGAGCGUACGCGAAGUUAUUGACGAAACAAUCUGUUUUGGUACAGAUAGCCGCAGCACGCGGGAUAAGCCUCCAAAAAUCAUGAAAAUGGAUCGGGAGCAUCGCGAUGUCGGGGAAUAAACUCCCGAACAGACGGAUCGCGGAUUGGUGGCCGUUCGGGUGGUCGCGCAAGAGUUCGAGCCGAACCGGGUCACGGAUGCCGCGGGAGGCCGAUUGCAAGUGACGACAAGCAAUCGGAACGCGUUAGAAGGUGGGUUGUGUUUACCGAAGCGACUAGGUCGCCUUCAUG